AACGUACGCUGGCGGCACGCCUAACACAUGCAAGUCGAACGAAGUAGCAAUACUUAGUGGCAGACGGGUGAGUAACAUGUAGGUAUCUGCCCUUUGGCCUGGAAUAACACGAGGAAACUUGUGCUAAUACCGGAUAAGUCUUUACGGAGAAAGCUUUAUGCACCAUUGGAUGAGCCUGCACUUGAUUAGUUUGUUGGUGGGGUAAUGGCCUACCAAGACUGUGAUCAAUAGCUGAUUUGAGAGGAUGAUCAGCCACAUUGGGACUGAGACACGGCCCAAACUCCUACGGGAGGCAGCAGUGGGGAAUCUUGCACAAUGGAGGAAACUCUGAUGCAGCGAUGCCGCGUGAGUGAAGAAGGCCCUUGGGUUGUAAAGCUCUUUCGUCGGGGAAGAAAAUGACUGUACCCGAAUAAGAAGGUCCGGCUAACUUCGUGCCAGCAGCCGCGGUAAUACGAAGGGACCUAGCGUAGUUCGGAAUUACUGGGCUUAAAGAGUUCGUAGGUGGUUGAAAAAGUUGGUGGUGAAAUCCCAGAGCUUAACUCUGGAACUGCCAUCAAAACUUUUCAGCUAGAGUAUGAUAGAGGAAAGCAGAAUUUCUAGUGUAGAGGUGAAAUUCGUAGAUAUUAGAAAGAAUACCAAUUGCGAAGGCAGCUUUCUGGAUCAUUACUGACACUGAGGAACGAAAGCAUGGGUAGCGAAGAGGAUUAGAUACCCUCGUAGUCCAUGCCGUAAACGAUGUGUGUUAGACGUUGGAAAUUUAUUUUCAGUGUCGCAGGGAAACCGAUAAACACACCGCCUGGGGAGUACGACCGCAAGGUUAAAACUCAAAUGAAUUGACGGGGACCCGCACAAGUAGUGGAGCAUGUGGUUUAAUUCGAAGAUACGCGCAGAACCUUACCAACACUUGACAUGUUCGUCGCGACUCUAAGAGAUUAGAGUUUUCGGUUCGGCCGGACGAAACACAGGUGCUGCAUGGCUGUCGUCAGCUCGUGUCGUGAGAUGUUGGGUUAAGUCCCGCAACGAGCGCAACCCUCACUUUUAGUUGCCAUCAUUAAGUUGGGCACUCUGAAAGAACUGCCAGUGAUAAGCUGGAGGAAGGUGGGGAUGACGUCAAGUCCUCAUGGCCCUUACGUGUUGGGCUACACACGUGCUACAAUGGUAUCUACAACAGGAAGCAAGACUGCGAAGUUAAGCAAAUCCUUAAAAGAUACCUCAGUUCGGAUUGCACUCUGCAACUCGAGUGCAUGAAAGCUGGAAUUACUAGUAAUCGUGGAUCAGCGUGCCACGGUGAAUGCGUUCCCGGGUCU
rnacentral:rRNA from 1 species